AAUGGAUAGCAUGCUGUGUGUGUGUGUGUGUGUGUGUGUGUGUGUAUACACACACACACACACACACACACACACAGGGACAGA
rnacentral:miRNA from 1 species